rnacentral:rRNA from 1 species
UGCAAGUCGAGCGGUAACAGAUCCAGCUUGCUGGAUGCUGACGAGCGGCGGACGGGUGAGUAAUGCAUAGGAAUCUGCCCGAUAGUGGGGGAUAACCUGGGGAAACCCAGGCUAAUACCGCAUACGUCCUACGGGAGAAAGGGGGCUCCGGCUCCCGCUAUGGGAUGAGCCUAUGUCGGAUUAGCUAGUUGGUGAGGUAACGGCUCACCAAGGCCACGAUCCGUAGCUGGUCUGAGAGGAUGAUCAGCCACAUCGGGACUGAGACACGGCCCGAACUCCUACGGGAGGCAGCAGUGGGGAAUAUUGGACAAUGGGGGCAACCCUGAUCCAGCCAUGCCGCGUGUGUGAAGAAGGCCCUCGGGUUGUAAAGCACUUUCAGCGAGGAAGAACGCCUAGCGGUUAAUACCCGCUAGGAAAGACAUCACUCGCAGAAGAAGCACCGGCUAACUCCGUGCCAGCAGCCGCGGUAAUACGGAGGGUGCAAGCGUUAAUCGGAAUUACUGGGCGUAAAGCGCGCGUAGGUGGCUUGAUAAGCCGGUUGUGAAAGCCCCGGGCUCAACCUGGGAACGGCAUCCGGAACUGUCAAGCUAGAGUGCAGGAGAGGAAGGUAGAAUUCCCGGUGUAGCGGUGAAAUGCGUAGAGAUCGGGAGGAAUACCAGUGGCGAAGGCGGCCUUCUGGACUGACACUGACACUGAGGUGCGAAAGCGUGGGUAGCAAACAGGAUUAGAUACCCUGGUAGUCCACGCCGUAAACGAUGUCGACCAGCCGUUGGGUGCCUAGCGCACUUUGUGGCGAAGUUAACGCGAUAAGUCGACCGCCUGGGGAGUACGGCCGCAAGGUUAAAACUCAAAUGAAUUGACGGGGGCCCGCACAAGCGGUGGAGCAUGUGGUUUAAUUCGAUGCAACGCGAAGAACCUUA